UGGCUCCAGGUAAGGGGGGAGGUCUCCCGCAGGGCCCUCAGGCAUGGACACCCAGACACGGCGGGGGGGGAGCAAAGGCGACAGCGACUCCAGGCAUGAGCCUGGCCCUUCCCAUGGAUCGCCCCAGCUAUGGCUGGCAUCGUGGCCACCCUCGAGGAGCCCUGCGGGAGGCCGGUCACGCUGGGGGUUGCAUUGGGGUUCGCCCCCAUUGCUGCUCCUGACCACACACACAGGUCUUCCCCUGCCAGGGCCAUCUCCGGGGCAGCGGUUCCAUGUGGCUCCUCACCCUGCCUGGCACCUAGCAGCCAACUUAGAGCUAGUGCGGACCAGGGGAAUCUGACUGUUUAAAACAAAGCAUCGCGAAGGCCCGCGGCGGGUGUUGUCGAGAUGUGAUUUCUGCCCAGUGCUCUGAAUGUCAAAGUGAAGAAAUUCAAUGAAGUGCGGGUAAACGGCGGCAGUAAUUAUGACUCUCUUAAGGUAGCCAAAUGCCUCAUCAUCUAGUGAUGCACAUGAAUGGUUGAACCAGAUUCCCACUGUCCCUACCUCCUAUCCAGCCAAACCACAGCCAAGAGAUCAGGCUUGG
rnacentral:ncRNA from 1 species